GACGUAGGUGGCGAGCGUUGUUCGGAAUCACUGGGCAUAAAGCGCGUGUAGGCGGCUCGGUAAGUCUGCUGUGAAAGUCCAGGGCUCAACCCUGGGAUGCCGGUGGAUACUGUCGAGCUCGAGUCCGGAAGAGGCGAGUGGAAUUCCUGGUGUAGCGGUGAAAUGCGUAGAUAUCGUAAGGAAGACCAGUGGCGAAGGCGGGUCUCGUGGACAGUUCCUGACGCUGAGGCACGAAGGUCAGGGGAGCAAACGGG
rnacentral:rRNA from 1 species